rnacentral:rRNA from 1 species
AGAGUUUGAUCCUGGCUCAGAGUGAACGCUGGCGGCGUGCUUAACACAUGCAAGUCGAACGAGAACGGGUCUUAGCUUGCUAAGAUUGUCAGCUAAGUGGCGCACGGGUGAGUAAUAUAUAGGUAACGUGCCUUCAAGAAGGGGAUAACAAUUGGAAACGAUUGCUAAUACCCUAUAUGCCUUUAAGUCUUAAGUCUGCAAGGGAAAUAUUUAUAGCUUGAAGAUCGGCCUGUACAGUAUCAGUUAGUUGGUGAGGUAAUGGCUCACCAAGACAAUGACGCUUAACUGGUUUGAGAGGAUGAUCAGUCACACUGGAACUGAGACACGGUCCAGACUCCUACGGGAGGCAGCAGUGGGGAAUAUUGCACAAUGGACGAAAGUCUGAUGCAGCAACGCCGCGUGGAGGAUGACACAUUUCGGUGCGUAAACUCCUUUUAUAUAGGAAGAUAAUGACGGUACUAUAUGAAUAAGCACCGGC